GACGAACGCCGGCGGCGUGCCUAAUACAUGCAAGUCGAACGAGAGCGACCGGUGCUUGCACUGGUCAAUCUAGUGGCGAACGGGUGAGUAACACGUGGGUAACCUGCCCAUCAGAGGGGGAUAACAUUCGGAAACGGAUGCUAAAACCGCAUAGGUUCUACAGUCGCAUGACUGAAGAAGGAAAAGAGGCUUCGGCUUCUGCUGAUGGAUGGACCCGCGGUGCAUUAGCUAGUUGGUGAGGUAACGGCUCACCAAGGCCGUGAUGCAUAGCCGACCUGAGAGGGUGAUCGGCCACAUUGGGACUGAGACACGGCCCAAACUCCUACGGGAGGCAGCAGUAGGGAAUCUUCCGCAAUGGACGCAAGUCUGACGGAGCAACGCCGCGUGAGUGAAGAAGGAUUUCGGUUCGUAAAACUCUGUUGUUAGAGAAGAACAGCGCAUAGAGUAACUGUUAUGCGUGUGACGGUAUCUAACCAGAAAGCCACGGCUAACUACGUGCCAGCAGCCGCGGUAAUACGUAGGUGGCAAGCGUUGUCCGGAUUUAUUGGGCGUAAAGCGAGCGCAGGCGGUCAAUUAAGUCUGAUGUGAAAGCCCCCGGCUCAACCGGGGAGGGUCAUUGGAAACUGGUUGACUUGAGUGCAGAAGAGGAGAGUGGAAUUCCAUGUGUAGCGGUGAAAUGCGUAGAUAUAUGGAGGAACACCAGUGGCGAAGGCGACUCUCUGGUCUGUAACUGACGCUGAGGCUCGAAAGCGUGGGUAGCAAACAGG
rnacentral:rRNA from 1 species